GUUGCCUAUAGUUUCCCUCCAACAUUUUCAAAUAUUUCACUAAAAUAUUUGAUUCCCUCCAACAUUUUCAACUCCCCCUCCCAUUAUUUUUGGCCAAAGCUGAAGAGUAGAACACAAUUUUUCUUCUCCAAAACUUUAAAUCGAAGAGUAGAAGAUGGAGAUCGAAGAGAGGACGUUGAAGACUGAAGAGAAGAGCUGAAGAUUGAAGAACUGAAGCUUAAAACAAACUUCAUCAAGCUAAUUGAUUAGUUUGGGUUUGUUAUUGCUGAAGAAUCGAAGAGCACUGCGAUUUCUCUGAACAUGAACUGAAGAAGACGAUUUUCCUCUCAGCUUCGUUGUUCAAGAUUGGAGAGCUGAAGAAGACGAUUUUCUUCAAAGAUUUCUGGGGAAAUGGAGGUGAUCAAAUUUGAAGUGGAUGAUGAAG